UCAAACGGUAUUCGACGGUGAAUAAUAAAAAUGACAUUGCGACUCAUUCUAUUAUUGCUCGAGAAUACCCUUUGA
rfam:Caenorhabditis remanei strain PB4641 contig218.1, whole genome shotgun sequence.